AGUUGUAAAUAAAUAAUCAUUUAGUAAAGAUAUUAUAGUAAUUAGGGCAACAGCCUAACUUUCCGGGAAAUGUGAAAUUAAAUUGUCUAUUUGUAACAAAUUUCAAAAUUUACUAAAAGCAUUAAUCCAGUUGUCAUUAAUAAAAUGAUUCCAGGAACAAAACCAGCAGAAGAUUAUCAAAACAUUGUAGUCCAAUCAGAAAAUCUAGAGCAGAGGCAAGAAACUGACCUGGGGAAUUUGGGAGGUGGGACUAGUGAUGACACAAAUGUCGGCCAGUUCUUGCAUAGAACUGAACCCCUGGUGGUAAUGUCUUUUCUGGAGGAUCUUGACAAAGAUAUUGAUAGAAAAUUCUCAAAGGCAAUUCAAGGCCAAGCUCCAAAUAAAGUUCAAGCCAACGAGAUAUCCAAAACAAGCUGCUCUGAUCCACAUGGUAAUACAGAUUAUAGAGAAGGAAAGAUGUCACAUGACAUAGCCUUGUCAUGUGAUAAGAAAGACCCAUGUCCUCUGUCUCCAGCCCAGUCGAAUAUUGCAAAACCAAGUAUCCAAUCCAAUACUAGACAUUCAAGUUGUUCGAAGCAAGUAUCCUCGUCGAAAAUUCCGAAACCGGUGCGAUCGCAGAAAAGUAACAUUGGCAUCCAACAGCAGCCGCAGCCAGGCAGCAAGCUGUGCCACUCAAAUCGGUCUGUGCCUACCGCAGCCGAUCGCAACCAGACAGCAUUCCGCAGGCAACGCCAGUCGUCUGUCGGUCCCGGUGGCAGCUCUGUGGCCCUCAAACAUCCUCAAAAUUCUCCCAAGGAUGGCAAGAGAAACGACAAUGACACAGAAUCGCACAGAAGCCGGAUAAAACCCUCCCAAAGUUCUCCAAUUAGAAAAUAUGAAGCACUUGAUGUCAUUCUUCCAGCAAAAAAAGGUGGUGGCGAGACUGGAUCCAAACCGGAUAAUGAAGAGUCAGAACCCGUUUUUGGAGGUUCACAGAAGAACCCUGAGAGUAGAAGUGAGUUUCUGAUUUGGCUUUCCAAUGCUAUCAGCGAAAAACUGUUAAAUCCUUAUAAAAUCGACGAAUACAUCUCAAACUACAAGUCAACUCUUGCAUUUAAAUCAGAUAAGGAAUCACAAGGUGCUGAGGAACUUGAAUUACUCCACAAGUUGAUUAAGAAGGUAUUUGAUUUGUAUGAGGAGUGUCAGUCUGAGAGGCUUUCAAAUGGAAAGUUGCAAUCCAAUUUCGAGCUAAAAAGUAAAUCUGACAUGAGAAAAAUUGGUCUAUUAGAAACAGAGAAUCAGAAUUUGAUUAAUAACAUGGAAAUGAUCAGCAGAAGAUUGGAGGAAGAAGUAGCUAAUAAUGAAAAAAUGAAAAGGGGUAGUCAGACCAUCCCUUCACUGAAGAAGAGGAUCAGAGACUUUGAACAAAAGCUAAGGAAUUGGGAAGAUAAACAAAGAGAGCAGAUUCAAAAACUGAAAAGUCUCGAGACAGGUUGUAAGCAUAAGAACAUGGACAGCAUAGAAAAAGAGCUCAAGGAAAUUACUUCAGUGUGUGAAAAAUUUUCGCAAGAAAAUGGUUUUCUAAAGAAAGAGCUGCAGAAAAGUGAAGACGAACAAAGAUUGAAACUUGUCAAGAUGAUCGACGAUUCUGAGGAAAUGAAACAGAUCAGAGACCAGCUUUCAAUGCUCAGAUGUAGAUAUAACGAAGAAGUAAAUAGAGGAAAAAAAUACUCGUAUGAACUUCAACAAACUUCUAACAAAUUGAAAGAAAUGGAGUUAAGUUGUAGAAGCCUCAGCAAGCUUGUGGAAGAAGCCAAGAAGGAGAUCAAAGCGAAAGACAAAAAGUAUGAAGAAUUAGAGAAGGUAGCUGAAGAGGAUAAACAAAUGAUGAGAACUGAGCUGGACGCCUGUAAGGUGAUCAAACAAGGUGCUGUUGACGAGAACGUCAUGCUCAGGCAAAAGAUUGAGACUCUACACAGUAAAAAUGAGAAGGUUCAUAGUUUGGAAAAAGAGAGCAUAGAAAUAGAACAACAGCUGCGAACCGAUCUAGCACUUCGAGACGAACAAAUCAUGCAACUGCAAGAGCAAAUUAAAAGCCUUCUUUUGGAGAGGAAGAAUGGAAGAGAUGUUACGAAGCUGAAAAAUAAUAAAAUGACUCUAGAUCAGUGUCAAGCCACUUAUCAAGAAAGAGCCAACUUGGCGGCUCAGAUAAUUGAUCUGCAAAAGAACGUUGACGAACUUUCCAAUACCAAUUUGGAGCUACAGAAGGUGCUCGCGGAUAGAAACGCCGAGCUCGAGCAACGCGAUCAGAUCGUGAAGCUGCAAACCGAUGUGCUCAAAAUAAGAGACGAACUGAUUGGCCUGCUGAGAAGCAAAGACUCGACACACGAGAAGCAUGUCGAAGAACUGAGCAGCAUAUUGAUGGAGCGAGAGCAUGCCAUCGAGAAGAAUAAAAAUAAAAUGAAAAAGUACCGGUCGAACGGUAUUAAAACUCAUCAAAAACCGAGAAUUAUUUGAAGAAAAUACGGAAUGGCCAGAUAUAAAAGAGGAAUUGAAGAAAAAAGUGGGCAGUUUGCAAGGAGCUCUGAAAGACGCCUCUCCACAUGAAACGAAAUUUAAAGAGUUGAACACAUCUGAUAAAUCAGAGAGAAAAGGUUCUGAAAAGCUGACACUGAAAGAUCUGCAUUUGAUGUUCCAAAAUAAAGAACUGGACUUGGACAGUAUGCAAGUACGCAUUAGGACGUUGGAGAGAAAUCAUCAAAAUUUCAGUCAUCAGCGAAUAAGACAAGAGACUCGAAUGAGAAUUCUAGAAGAGUCACUACAGGAAAAGAAUAGCAACACAUGGAUUCCUGUGUUGGUUAAAUAAUACAUUGGGAGACCAAGACAGUGGAAAAGUUUAACAUUACGACCAAGUGCAAAGUUUCAUUCAUAAUUCUAGUUGUAACUGAAUAUCAGCUGAGCUGAAGUGAAUAAAUAAAACCGAUUUGUGAAUUGAUUUCAAUGACGUAAUAUACAUGUUUCUCUUAUUUCAAUUAUUGCUAUUUGCUUAGCAUUAUAAAUUAACUGUUCAUGCAUUGUAAAAUUCUGUGAAUAAACUAACUGUUCAUGCAUUGUAAAAUUUUGUGAAUAAACUAACUGUUCAUGCAUUGUAAAAUUUUGUGAAUAAACUAAUUGUUUAAACGAA